rnacentral:lncRNA from 1 species
UUCACUUGUUUGUAUUUUCUUUCUGAUUCUGGAGAAUUGUAUUUGAGUUGUAUCAGACCUGAUGUAUGGCUUUUGCAUUUGUUGUGCACUUUUGGUAUACAAUGGUUAUUUUCAUUCAGUGAUUGGCCUUCAAGCUUUAUUUGCUUUCAUGUAUUCACUCACACAACACACACAUGGUUGGGUGGUAUCUUUGCUAAAUCAUAUAUCUCUGAUCUGUAUGUCAAAAUCAAUCGAUGAAUGUCAG